rnacentral:rRNA from 1 species
AAUAGAUACCCAGGUAGUCCACCCCGUAAACGUUGGGAACUAGUUGUGGGGUCCUUUCCACGGAUUCCGUGACGCAGCUAACGCAUUAAGUUCCCCGCCUGGGGAGUACGGCCGCAAGGCUAAAACUCAAAGGAAUUGACGGGGACCCGCACAAGCGGCGGAGCAUGCGGAUUAAUUCGAUGCAACGCGAAGAACCUUACCAAGGCUUGACAUACACCAGAACACCCUAGAAAUAGGGGACUCUUUGGACACUGGUGAACAGGUGGUGCAUGGUUGUCGUCAGCUCGUGUCGUGAGAUGUUGGGUUAAGUCCCGCAACGAGCGCAACCCUCGUUCUAUGUUGCCAGCACGUAAUGGUGGGAACUCAUGGGAUACUGCCGGGGUCAACUCGGAGGAAGGUGGGGAUGACGUCAAAUCAUCAUGCCCCUUAUGUCUUGGGCUUCACGCAUGCUACAAUGGCCGGUACAAAGGGCUGCAAUACCGUGAGGUGGAGCGAAUCUCAAAAAGCCGGUCUCAGUUCGGAUUGGGGUCUGCAACUCGACCCC